AACGCGAAGAACCUUACCUACUCUUGACAUCCAGAGAACUUACGAGAGAUGGUUUGGUGCCUUCGGGAACUCUGAGACAGGUGCUGCAUGGCUGUCGUCAGCUCGUGUGUGAAAUGUUGGGUUAAGUCCCGCAACGAGCGCAACCCUUAUCCUUUGUUGCCAGCGGUUCGGCCGGGAACUCAAAGGAGACUGCCAGUGAUAAACUGGAGGAAGGUGGGGAUGACGUCAAGUCAUCAUGGCCCUUACGAGUAGGGCUACACACGUGCUACAAUGGCGCAUACAAAGAGAAGCGACCUCGCGAGAGCAAGCGGACCUCAUAAAGUGCGUCGUAGUCCGGAUUGGAGUCUGCAACUCGACUCCAUGAAGUCGGAAUCGCUAGUAAUCGUGGAUCAGAAUGCCACGGUGAAUACGUUCCCGGGCCUUGUACACACCG
rnacentral:rRNA from 1 species